GGGCACUUGGCACGGUUGGUAGCGCGCACGCUUCGCAUAAACAAUACCCGCCGCUAACUUUGCGUGAGGUCAGGAGUUCAACUCUCCUAGUGUCCA